rnacentral:lncRNA from 1 species
UUUAAUUACUCGUGCUUAAUCUCGCAUGUUUAGGAUUUGGGCAUAAAGUACUUAAAGCCACUGUUUUCUGCUUGAGGGAAGUUGGUAUGUUGAAUAUGUUUAGCUUUCUUGUGGCAUUUUAACACUAGAUAUCAGUGAGUAAGCUGGAUUGUGACAGUUUAUAAUUCCCGUGGGCCUUCCUCCUUCAGUUUAAGCUUGAAGCGUUCGUAAGGUUCUCAAAGACUACAGAAGUUGGAAACUUCGCGGAGAGACUGCAAGUUACCCUUUCCAAAAUGGCGGGAAGGGCUAAAAACAAAGAAAGCUCGCACCCAGACGGCGGGCCUUAAACCAAGGCGAAUCCGUGAGCGCAACACAUCUGCUUCUGUGGCUCCUGAUGGAUCUGAGAAGAUGGACGUGGAGGAUGAAAAUCUGUCUGAUUAUUUUGAACUGAUGUUUGUUGCUAUGGAGAUGCUGCCUAUAUGUUGAUGUUGCAGACGUUAAGUCACUAGCCCACAGCCUUGUAUUCCAUACUCAGAGACCCUGCUACUUACUUGACAUCUCAACUUGAAAGUCCAAUUAAUAUGCACUUCAAACUUUAAUAGGCUUCAAACAGAAUUUCUUUCAUUAUCUCUGCAAAACAGCUUCUCUCAUCAUCUUGAAAUUAGUGAAUGGCAUUUUACUGUUUUAGUUGGAGUCAUUUCUGUGGUUUUCUUUCACAUCCUACAUAACAAUCCAUCAGUAAGUUCUAUGAGCUCUUCUUUGAAAACAAACAGAAUCCAACUGUUUCAUUCCCACUUCUGCUCUGGUCAAGCCACUGCCAACACUCACCUUUAUUAUUGUAGCACCCUCAUUGCCUAGUUCUGUCCCACAGAUUUCCAAUAAAAGGUGAAUAAAAUCAGGUCACUCUUCUGCUGAAAACCCUCCAAUGGCUCUCAUUUCGCUAAAAAGAAAACCCAAAGUCCUUUCAGUACCUUGCAAGGCCCCACACUCUGGCUCUUGUUAUCUCUUUGGCCUCAAAUCCCACUACUCCUUUCCUUCCUCGCGCAGCUCCGCUAGCCUCAAACUUGCUGUAAGUAUGUAUCUUUCAGGGACUAUAUAUUGACAGUUCCCUUUGUGUGGGCAACUCAGCUUCUAGAUUUAAGUGUUGCUGCCUCACUUCUUUCAAAUAACACCCUCUGUGUGAGGCUGGUUGUGACCCCACUGGCAUUACAAUCCUGCUCCCUUCCUCACGGCCUUCCCACUAUAUUUUUCCCUGCUCCUAAGGAUCCUGCAGUCUAUUUGGAGAGUGAAAACAUAUCCUUAUGAAAAGGAAAGCAGGAAUGGAAUAUUAUAUGGAAUGUCAGAUGAGUGUAAUUCAAGUCAGUAUCAGAAGUGAUAGUUCCUGGCUUGGUGCCAGAUGUUGGAGGCCUGUUGGGCCAAUGACAGGAAUGUAGACUUUAUUCUGGACAGCAGAGAACCAUACAAAAUCUCCCCUCCCUGCUUUGGUUCUGAUUAUGUCACAAUUCUAGCAUCUUUCAUGAAACUAGUUUUUGCACUGAGCAUAUUAGACUCAAAUUAUGUGUUUAUCUUAAUAAGUGCCUAGAUGAAUAUAAAUAAAAUGAAUAUAAAUCUAAA